rnacentral:rRNA from 1 species
UAACACUAACUGGAGGACCGAACCGACUAAUGUUGAAAAAUUAGCGGAUGACUUGUGGCUGGGGGUGAAAGGCCAAUCAAACCGGGAGAUAGCUGGUUCUCCCCGAAAGCUAUUUAGGUAGCGCCUCGUGAAUUCAUCUCCGGGGGUAGAGCACUGUUUCGGCAAGGGGGUCAUCCCGACUUACCAACCCGAUGCAAACUGCGAAUACCGGAGAAUGUUAUCACGGGAGACACACGGCGGGUGCUAACGUCCGUCGUGAAGAGGGAAACAACCCAGACCGCCAGCUAAGGUCCCAAAGUCAUGGUUAAGUGGGAAACGAUGUGGGAAGGCCCAGACAGCCAGGAUGUUGGCUUAGAAGCAGCCAUCAUUUAAAGAAAGCGUAAUAGCUCACUGGUCGAGUCGGCCUGCGCGGAAGAUGUAACGGGGCUAAACCAUGCACCGAAGCUGCGGCAGCGACGCUUAUGCGUUGUUGGGUAGGGGAGCGUUCUGUAAGCCUGUGAAGGUGGCCUGUGAGGGUUGCUGGAGGUAUCAGAAGUGCGAAUGCUGACAUAAGUAACGAUAAAGCGGGUGAAAAGCCCGCUCGCCGGAAGACCAAGGGUUCCUGUCCAACGUUAAUCGGGGCAGGGUGAGUCGACCCCUAAGGCGAGGCCGAAAGGCGUAGUCGAUGGGAAACAGGUUAAUAUUCCUGUACUUGGUGUUACUGCGAAGGGGGGACGGAGAAGGCUAUGUUGGCCGGGCGACGGUUGUCCCGGUUUAAGCGUGUAGGCUGGUUUUCCAGGCAAAUCCGGAAAAUCAAGGCUGAGGCGUGAUGACGAGGCACUACGGUGCUGAAGCGACAAAUGCCCUGCUUCCAGGAAAAGCCUCUAAGCAUCAGGUAACAUUAAAUCGUACCCCAAACCGACACAGGUGGUCAGGUAGAGAAUACCAAGGCGCUUGAGAGAACUCGGGUGAAGGAACUAGGCAAAAUGGUGCCGUAACUUCGGGAGAAGGCACGCUGAUAUGUAGGUGAAGCGACUUGCUCGUGGAGCUGAAAUCAGUCGAAGAUACCAGCUGGCUGCAACUGUUUAUUAAAAACACAGCACUGUGCAAACACGAAAGUGGACGUAUACGGUGUGACGCCUGCCCGGUGCCGGAAGGUUAAUUGAUGGGGUUAGCGGUAACGCGAAGCUCUUGAUCGAAGCCCCGGUAAACGGCGGCCGUAACUAUAACGGUCCUAAGGUAGCGAAAUUCCUUGUCGGGUAAGUUCCGACCUGCACGAAUGGCGUAAUGAUGGCCAGGCUGUCUCCACCCGAGACUCAGUGAAAUUGAACUCGCUGUGAAGAUGCAGUGUACCCGCGGCAAGACGGAAAGACCCCGUGAACCUUUACUAUAGCUUGACACUGAACAUUGAGCCUUGAUGUGUAGGAUAGGUGGGAGGCUUUGAAGUGUGGACGCCAGUCUGCAUGGAGCCGACCUUGAAAUACCACCCUUUAAUGUUUGAUGUUCUAACGUGGGCCCCUUACCGGGGUUGCGGACAGUGUCUGGUGGGUAGUUUGACUGGGGCGGUCUCCUCCUAAAGAGUAACGGAGGAGCACGAAGGUUGGCUAAUCCUGGUCGGACAUCAGGAGGUUAGUGCAAUGGCAUAAGCCAGCUUGACUGCGAGCGUGACGGCGCGAGCAGGUGCGAAAGCAGGUCAUAGUGAUCCGGUGGUUCUGAAUGGAAGGGCCAUCGCUCAACGGAUAAAAGGUACUCCGGGGAUAACAGGCUGAUACCGCCCAAGAGUUCAUAUCGACGGCGGUGUUUGGCACCUCGAUGUCGGCUCAUCACAUCCUGGGGCUGAAGUAGGUCCCAAGGGUAUGGCUGUUCGCCAUUUAAAGUGGUACGCGAGCUGGGUUUAGAACGUCGUGAGACAGUUCGGUCCCUAUCUGCCGUGGGCGCUGGAGAACUGAGGGGGGCUGCUCCUAGUACGAGAGGACCGGAGUGGACGCAUCACUGGUGUUCGGGUUGUCAUGCCAAUGGCACUGCCCGGUAGCUAAAUGCGGAAGAGAUAAGUGCUGAAAGCAUCUAAGCACGAAACUUGCCCCGAGAUGAGUUCUCCCUGACUCCUUGAGAGUCCUGAAGGAACGUUGAAGACGACGACGUUGAUAGGCCGGGUGUGUAAGCGCAGCGAUGCGUUGAGCUAACCGGUACUAAU